rnacentral:rRNA from 1 species
UACGUAGGGUCCGAGCGUUGUCCGGAAUUAUUGGGCGUAAAUGGCUCGUAGGCGGUUUGUCGCGUCGGGAGUGAAAACACGGGGCUUAACCCCGUGCCUGCUUCCGAUACGGGCAGACUAGAGGUAUGCAGGGGAGAACGGAAUUCCUGGUGUAGCGGUGGAAUGCGCAGAUAUCAGGAGGAACACCAAUGGCGAAGGCAGAUCUCUGGGCCGUAACUGACGCUGAGGAGCGAAAGCAUGGGGAGCGAACAGG